CCAGCCAGCCCCUAGCGCAGACGGCGAAGAGCUGGGAUGGAGCUCGCCUUGGCUCUGCUGGCCUUGGCUGCAGCUCUCCCAGAGAGCGGGGCACCCAAAGGAGAAUCCCUUACCUGCUCUCUCUUCAGGGAUGACAUCAUCGGCUCACCGCAGUCUUCAAGGACCACCUUCUUUGGACGCCAAGCUUUUGCUCAAGUGCCUGUGGGGAUACCUGCUGAACAUCUCUACCUUCUGAGCCAAGGAGCUUGGAUUCCUGGAACCCACCAGCAUACAGAGCAGCCCCCUUGUGGACCCCCAAGACCAUGACAUCGAGGGACAAGGGACAAAGAGGAUCAGUAGUGUCCAGCUAGCCUCUUUUUGGGUUCAAGCCUUGAACCAGUGCCCUAGUGAGGGGGCAUUGGUCAUGACCUUCGACCUUUUUUCUGCUUGUGCCUUGUUUCUGAGUCCUUCCCUGUAUGUCUCUGCUUGUGUUCAUCUGCCAGUGAACUGGAGUGCUUCCCUCCCCAAGGGGGGUCGUCCCUUGUGACUGACCAUGUUAUUCUAACAAUGUCCUGAGCAGAAGGAUCCCUUUGGGAGCCUCUCAGGAGGGGGACCUGGGCCAGGGGCCACCAUUGUGCUGGCAACUCUGUGGGUUGGGGUGGGGUGCUUCUGGAAUGAGCAUGUGGCUGACCCCCAAAGGCAUGCUCCCCCCCCUUCCACCCACCUUUUUGGAGAUGUCCCUUCCUUUUGGGUUAAUGGGACAUUAGGAGCAACCUCCUAGGGUUGUUGUGAGAAUUAAAUGAGUUCGAAUAGCCUGAGGCAGGGCUGGGCAAAGCCCUCAGC